rnacentral:rRNA from 1 species
CCUACGGGUGGCAGCAGUGAGGAAUCUUCCACAAUGGGCGAAAGCCUGAUGGAGCAACGCCGCGUGAAGGAUGAAGGCCUUCGGGUUGUAAACUUCUUUUAUGAGUGAAGAAUAUGACGGUAACUCAUGAAUAAGCACCGGCUAACUACGUGCCAGCAGCCGCGGUCAUACGUAGGGUGCGAGCAUUAUCCGGAGUGACUGGGCGUAAAGAGUUGCGUAGGCGGUUUAUUAAGUGAAUAGUGAAAUCUGGUGGCUCAACCAUACAGGCUAUUAUUCAAACUGGUAAACUCGAGAAUAGCAGAGGUAACUGGAAUUUCUAGUGUAGGAGUGAAAUCCGUAGAUAUUAGAAAGAACACCGAUGGCGUAGGCAGGUUACUGGGCUAUUUCUGACGCUAAGGCACGAAAGCGUGGGGAGCGAACCGGAUUAGAUACCCCGGUAGUC